rnacentral:rRNA from 1 species
GCUUAACGCGAAGAACCUUACCAGGUCUUGACAUCCUAAGGAACUUUCCAGAGAUGGAUUGGUGCCUUCGGGAGCUUAGAGACAGGUGCUGCAUGGCUGUCGUCAGCUCGUGUCGUGAGAUGUUGGGUUACGGUCCCGUAACGAGCGCAACCCUUGUCCUUAGUUGCCAGCGAGUAAUGUCGGGAACUCUAAGGAGACUGCCGGUGAACAAACCGGAGGAAGGUGGGACGACGUCAAGUCAUCAUGGCCCUUACGACCUGGGCUACACACGUGCUACAAUGGGCGGUACAAAGGGUUGCCAAGCCGCGAGGUGGAGCUAAUCCCAUAAAACCGUUCGUAGUCCGGAUUGGAGUCUGCAACUCGACUCCAUGAAGUCGGAAUCGCUAGUAAUCGUAAAUCAGAAUGUUACGGUGAAUACGUUCCCCGGGUCUUGUACAC